rnacentral:rRNA from 1 species
GAUGAACGCUGGCGGCGUGCCUAAUACAUGCAAGUCGAGCGAAUGGAUUAAGAGCUUGCUCUUAUGAAGUUAGCGGCGGACGGGUGAGUAACACGUGGGUAACCUGCCCAUAAGACUGGGAUAACUCCGGGAAACCGGGGCUAAUACCGGAUAACAUUUUGAACCGCAUGGUUCGAAAUUGAAAGGCGGCUUCGGCUGUCACUUAUGGAUGGACCCGCGUCGCAUUAGCUAGUUGGUGAGGUAACGGCUCACCAAGGCAACGAUGCGUAGCCGACCUGGGGGGGUGAUCGGCCACACAGGGGCUGCGACACGGCCCAGACUCCUACGGGAGGCAGCAGUAGGGAAUCUUCCGCAAUGGACGAAAGUCUGACGGAGCAACGCCGCGUGAGUGAUGAAGGCUUUCGGGUCGUAAAACUCUGUUGUUAGGGAAGAACAAGUGCUAGUUGAAUAAGCUGACACCUUGACGGUACCUAACCAGAAAGCCACGGCUAACUACGUGCCAGCAGCCGCGGUAA